rnacentral:rRNA from 1 species
GAUGAACGCUGGCGGCGUGCCUAAUACAUGCAAGUCGAGCGAACGGACGAGAAGCUUGCUUUUCUGAUGUUAGCGGCGGACGGGUGAGUAACACGUGGAUAACCCACCUAUAAGACUGGGAUAACUUCGGGAAACCGGAGCUAAUACCGGAUAAUAUUUUGAACCGCAUGGUUCAAAAGUGAAAGACGGUCUUGCUGUCACUUAUAGAUGGAUCCGCGCUGCAUUAGCUAGUUGGUAAGGUAACGGCUUACCAAGGCAACGAUGCAUAGCCGACCUGAGAGGGUGAUCGGCCACACUGGAACUGAGACACGGUCCAGACUCCUACGGGAGGCAGCAGUAGGGAAUCUUCCGCAAUGGGCGAAAGCCUGACGGAGCAACGCCGAGUGAGUGAUGAAGGUCUUCGGAUCGUAAAACUCUGUUAUUAGGGAAGAACAUAUGUGUAAGUAACUGUGCACAUCUUGACGGUACCUAAUCAGAAAGCCACGGCUAACUACGUG